rnacentral:rRNA from 1 species
AAAUAUAUGUAAUUUAUACUUGUAUAUAUUUGUAAUGUUUAUUUACUUAUAUAUACAUAAGUAUACAAAGAAAUUAUUAUGGAAUUUUAGCUGUAUAUUAAAGAGAAGAUGUAUAACUAUAAUAUUACAUAUUAUAAGUUAUAUAAACUCUAAGAGAAAUUAAAUUUUAAACUAAGCAAAUUGAAAUAUCUCAGUAGCUUAAGGAAAAGAAAUCAAAAGAGAUUCUAAAAAUAGCGUGAGUGAAAUUAGAAAAGUCUGAAAGUAAAAUUGUAUAUAAACUGUUUGAACUAUAUGGGGAACCUUCCUCAAAGACUAAAUAUAAUAUACAAGCGAUAGUGAAAACGUACCAUGAGGGAAAAUUAGAAAAAUAGUAAUUUUAUAAGCAGUUCGAUGUAUAAACUAUAGAACGUACCUUUUGCAUAAUGGGUCACCAAGUUAACAUUAGAUGCGAGAAAAUGCGUAGUUAAACCGGACGUUAAAAUAACGAUAAGAGUAUCUAAAGUUAGACCCGAAGCCUGGUGAUUUUACCAUAAUCAGGAUUAUAAAAGUCCGAACGGUUUAUUGUUGCAAAAAUAUCCGAAGAAUUAUGGUAGGUAUAGUGAAAGACAAAACUGACCAGGAUAGCUGGUUUUCUGCGAAACCUAUAAUAGUAGGCAAUUCAAGAAAAUAUCUUAGCAGGUACAGAACUUAAUCUCAGACAAGACAAAUAUUGUCAUAUUUUGUACAUAUUGGGGGAUCGUGAAGAUUUUACCAGUGAGUAUGCAGACUCGGAAUGGCAAAGAUAAAACUUGAAUGAUCAGACAUAGAAUGAUAAGGUUGUAUGUCAAAAGGGAAACAGCCCAGAACAAGAGUUAAGGUUCCUAAAUUAUUAGUUAAGUGAAAUGAAGAAUGUAUUUAUUAAAGUCGACAAGGAGAUAGGCUUAGAAGCAGCCAUAAUUUUAUGAUCUCGUAACAGAGCACUUGUUAAGGUAUAAAUAGCAUCGAUAAUUUAACGGAUCUAAACAAUAUACCGAAACCUUGUCCAUCUUAUAUUAUAAAGAGAAUUCUUUUUAUAAUUUAAUGGGGUAGCAGAACGUUGAAUUAAGUUAUGACUUUUAUUUUUCAAAUAAAAUUAUAAUUAUUUAAUUCAAGUGAGAAUGGUGACAUGAGUAACUAAAAGAAAAAAAAAAUUUUUUCCGCCUAAAGCUUAUGGAUAGAUUUAAGUACGGCCUCUAAGUUUUACAAUCUAAAGAUUGAAACGAUGAGAAAAUCUUAUAUUAUUAAUGACAACAUUUUAGUGGAAAAUGUGCUGGAAAAAUAAUAAUAUAUUAUUUGUUUUUAACAAAUAAAAAUUAACCGUACCUAGAAACUGAUACAAGUAAGCAAGUAGAGAAUACGAAGGCGCGUGAGCUAACAAUCAUAAAGGAACUCGGCAAAUUGACUACUGUAACUUCGGAAUAAGGAGGGCUCAUAAUUCUUGAUUAAUAUCAAGUAAAAGGGAAGAAGCAUGAAAUAAUGUUGUACGACUGUUUAAUUAAAACACAGCACUUUGCUGAAAGAUAAAAAAAUCUAAGUAUAAAGUGUGAAAUCUGCCCGGUGCCGGCUGGUUAAUCGAGAUAAUUGAAUGAUUUAACAUUUGAUGUUGACAGAACCCCCGGUUAAAGGCGGCCUUAACGUGAGGGUCCUAAGGUAGCGAAAUGCCUUGGCCGUUAAAUGCGGUCUUGCAUGAAUGGUGUAACGAUACAACAGCUGUCUCUAUGAUUGACUCAGUGAAAUUGGAAUAGCUGUGCAGAUACAGCUUACCUCUAGUUAGACGAGAAGACCCUAUGCAGCUUUACUGUCACUAAUUAUAGAGUAUGAUAAACAUCUUUCAGGCUAGAAGGUAGUAGAUAGAUAUAACAAUGAGAACCCUUCAAUUGUUUUUCAUAUGAAUGAGACGGUUUAAAAAUAAUUUAUUAAGAUAGGGGAUUUAACCUCUUUCAAAAUAAAUAGUUUUUAAAUUCACCUAGUCUCUGCCUAUUUUAGGUGACCUUAGUGGAGGAACUAUUACUAGGAGACAGUUUAUGUGGGGCACAGACCCUGUAAAGAGUAAACAGGAGUGUCUAAUAAUUUCAAAUUUUGUUUGUAAUUUUAAAUAGUUUUACUAUUUUUUAUCGUAUUAACUUAUUUAUAUAUACACAUUUGUUAUUCAAAUAAUAAAUUGUUGUGUAUAUAUUUAAAAAAAAUAGGAAGGUAGGAUUUUCACUAGGUAGAAGUUAGUGAUAAUUGAGAAGAUUAUGAAUUUUCAUUCUAAUCUUUUUUAGCUAUUAAUUAAUUAAUAGUAAUGUGUGAUAUUUACAAAGCUCAACGGCUAAAUCCUGCCUUACUGUUUGAUUAUCUACAAAUCUUACAGUUGCGUAAGCAGGGCAUAGGAUCACAAGAUACAAUAAGGAAAGAUCUUGGAUUAUUGGAAAAGCUACGCUAGGGAUGUUUGUCCUUUAAUAUUUUAUUUGAGCUAAGAGCUCUUAAAAUAAUUGAUAUAAAUUGGGUAAAUUUCAAAAAUUACUUAAGAUAGUAAAUUUGAAGCGGAAUUUAUUUUAGCAUAUGUUAUAAAAUAAAAACGUUCAACGACUAUAAGGUGAAUGUUAUGCAAUACAUGAUAAUCCUUUUAAACUACCCAACAUUUUUAUGGCUAUAGGUUAAAGCUAUAAUAAGCAUAUAAAAAGAAAUAAAAAGAAAUAAAUAAUAAAUAAAAAUGAAAAUUUUUAAGAAUAAUUUAAAUAAAAAUAUCAGAACUUCUGGUUUAAAACCUAAAUUAACUGUUAUAAAUAAUAUGAAAUAUUUACCUGCUUUUUCAAAAGAAUGAAAAAAUGUUAUAUAUUCUUUUAAUAAAAAUAAUAUGAAAAAUAUACCAGCUAAUACUGUAAAUAUAAAUAAAAUAAUUAAAAGUUAUUUUAAUUUAUUUUUUAAAAACCGUCAAUUUUUAGGUAAAACUAAAUUUAUAUAUCUAAAAAAAAGACGUAAUUUUUUAAGAAGAAUUUUUGUAAGUGAUGCUAAUAUAAAAUAUACAAAUAGUAAAGCAAAAAUAACACUAUUUACUAUAAAUAAAGAAAAAAAAGCAUUAAAAAGAAAAUAUCAUCUAUUAAAUAUGAGAAUAACUUAUAACUUGUUUAAGAAUUAUACUUCUUUGUACAAUAAUUAUAUAAAAAAUAUUUAUUCUCUUUUAUAUAAAAAAUAUAAAAUGUAUGAUGAGUAUUUUUUUGUAAAAGAUUUUAUAAAAAAAAGAAAAUACAUUAAUUAUACUUUUAAAUACUUAAAUACAUUUUUAAAAUUAAAUCAUCUUAUUUUGAAAAAAAUGUGGAAUGAAUUAAUUAAAAAUGAAUCAGGGAAAUAUUUUAAUUAUUUGAGAAAAUAUAGUUUGUUAUAUUCUUUAAAUCAAUUUAAAUUUAAUAAAGUAAGAUUAUUAUCUAAAUUGACCUAUUUAUUAGAACUAAUAAUAGGGAAAAAAAUACAAUAUAAUAUAGUAAAUUUAAAAUCUAUUACUUAUCAUCCUGAUAUUUUUACUGAUCUUCUGGCAUUAAAGGUUAAGAAAGAUAGACUUAAUCCUCGUAGAAAAAUGCAUAGUGUAUUACAUAAAGCUCGUAUACUUGAAAAAAACAGAAUACAAGAAAGAAGUAAAGCACAAAUAUCAGAUAAAAUUGAUAUUUUUAGAGAUAAAUAUAGAGAUUUAAAAAUUAUUUCUCAUAUGAAAAAUCUGAAUUUGUCUGGGUUAGUAAAUACUAUAUUGGAAAAAAAUAGAAAAAAUAUAAAAAAAAACAAAAAUAUACACAGUUUAAUAUUCAAUUCUAUAGGUUAUAAACAUUUAAGUGGAAUUAAAUUAAAAGUUUCAGGGAGAUUAACUAAACGUUAUAGAGCAGAUAGAGCUGUACAAGUUUUAAAAUGAAAAGGAGGAUUAAAAAACAUAGAUUCUUCUUUCAAAGGUUUAAGUUCAGUAUCUUUCAGAGGAAAUUCUAAUUCUAAUGUUAGUUAUUCUUGAUCUAAAUCAAAACGUCGUAUAGGAUCUUUUGCAGUAAAAGGUUGAAUAGGAGGUAAAUAAUAAUAAAGGAUAUCUAUAAUAUGCUUAUAAUAAAAAUGAAGACAUAGUCUGAACCAUUUUGAAAAAAAUGGAAAUUCAAUUAGAUGAUAACAAAAAGAACAGGCUAAUUUGCGCAAGAGUGUACAUAAUGAGUGCGCGGUUUGGCACCUCGAUGUCGGCUUAACUUAUCCUCAUGGAUGCAGAAACUAUGUAGGGUGCGACUGUUCGUCGAUUAAAAAGUUACAUGAGCUGGGUUAAAUACGUCGUGAGACAGUAUGGUUUCUAUCUUCUAGAGGAAAUUAGAAUAAAAUAAGAAGGAACUUUUGUACGAAAGGAACAAGAAGUAUUUAAUUGUUAUUAGUUAAAUAAUAGUUACUAACCUAUGGUUUACCUGUUGUUUAUGUGUCUAAAUAUUAAAUAUAUAUAUACUAAUAUAUAUAUCUGUACAAUAAGUACAUAAGAAUGUUUCUUUCACUAAGAUAAAUAUAUAUAGCAUAAGCACGGCAGGGAAGCUAAGUUGGCUAAAGAUAAGUGCUGAAAGCAUAUAGGCACGAAGCUUUUCUUAAGAUAUUUCUUAAAUAUCCGUAUUAUACUAAUACGAAAUUUUUAUAGGCUUUAUUUGUAAGAAUCUUGAGAUUUUAAGGAAGAUAGUACUAAUUUUAUAAAUUACUAAGGAUAU